UGGGGAAUAUUGGACAAUGGGCGCAAGCCUGAUCCAGCCAUGCCGCGUGGGUGAUGAAGGCCUUAGGGUUGUAAAGCCCUUUCGGCGGGGAAGAUAAUGACGGUACCCGCAGAAGAAGCCCCGGCUAACUUCGUGCCAGCAGCCGCGGUAAUACGAAGGGGGCUAGCGUUGCUCGGAAUCACUGGGCGUAAAGCGCACGUAGGCGGAUCUUUAAGUCGGGGGUGAAAUCCCGGGGCUCAACCCCGGAACUGCCUUCGAUACUGAGGAUCUUGAGUUCGGGAGAGGUGAGUGGAACUGCGAGUGUAGAGGUGAAAUUCGUAGAUAUUCGCAAGAACACCAGUGGCGAAGGCGGCUCACUGGCCCGAUACUGACGCUGAGGUGCGAAAGCGUGGGGAGCAAACAG
rnacentral:rRNA from 1 species